rnacentral:rRNA from 1 species
AACGCUGGCGGCACGCUUAACACAUGCAAGUCGAACGGAGUUCAUUCGGAGCUUGCUCUGGAUGAACUUAGUGGCGGACGGGUGAGUAACACGUGAGCAACCUGCCUUUGAGAGUGGAAUAGCUUCUGGAAACGGAUGGUAAUACCGCAUAACAUUGCCGGACCGCAUGAUCUGGCAAUCAAAGAUUUAUCGCUCAAAGAUGGGCUCGCGUCUGAUUAGGUAGUUGGUGAGGUAACGGCUCACCAAGCCGACGAUCAGUAGCCGGACUGAGAGGUUGAACGGCCACAUUGGGACUGAGACACGGCCCAGACUCCUACGGGAGGCAGCAGUGGGGAAUAUUGCACAAUGGGCGCAAGCCUGAUGCAGCGAUGCCGCGUGGAGGAAGAAGGUUUUCGGAUUGUAAACUCCUGAUCUGAGGGACGAUAAUGACGGUACCUCAGGAGAAAGCUCCGGCUAACUACGUGCC